CAACUUGAAGCUUAUUUAGUAAAGCAUUUCAUUUACACUGAAAAGAUUAUUGUGCAAAUCAAUGUGGGUUGA
rnacentral:tRNA from 1 species